rnacentral:sRNA from 1 species
UAAUAAGGUUCAAAGGCUAAAUACGCGCCGUCCUGGCGCAACGCCCUUGUGACCAACCUCCUGUUGG